UCAUUGUCAGUUCUAUGCUCC
ensembl:piRNA 21ur-2455 ncRNA